GAAAAGUGUUUCAGACAUGUACACAACAUGUGGUUUACUAUUAUCAUUAAAUGAGGUGAACUGGGACUCUAUACAUAUGGAUUUUGAAUUGCAUAAAUUUUGAUUGAUAUCAUUUGAAGACUGAGACCCUGAAAGGCUAGAUUUUGUGAAAGACGAUACACAGGCCAGCUAUUACCACAUACAAUAAUACCAGGAAAAAUAUCUGAAAUGAGCAAGGCAGCUGGCUUUUAAAUAGCUAAAACAUAACAUCAAUACUUAUUUUGAAUAAUGGAAAAAAGAGGUAAAAGAUGUUGACCUCUGCCUGACAAUAACAUGUUCCAAAAGUAGAACUGGUCCCAGGAGAAAACCCCCUGCUCAACAGUAGCGACUAAGACAUUUUUUUUCCCCUCUCUCUCUUUCUCUUUCCCUCUUGUUUUCUCUUUCUUUUCUCUUAUUUUUUCAUAUAUAUAUAUUUUUUUAAAUUCAAACUUUUUUUCUUUUUUUUUUUUUUUCCCUUCCCUCUCCCUCCCUGGGAAAGCCAAAUGAGCUUUCGCACACGAAGCCGCCGCAGACAACCCCCAGAAAAAAAAAAAAAAAAAGAAAAAAAAAGAAAAAAGAAGGAUUUUCGCAAAUUCAGGAAACACUUGAGAGACGGUUGCAAAGGCUCAAGAAGGAAUAUUUCCAUAAACAAGUUCAAACUUAAUAAAGAGCAGACAGAGAAAGAAGAAGUCAGAGCGGAAGGGCAAUAAAGCAGGGUGUAAGAAGAAGCAGUCUUUACCUUGGGGCUAUGAACGCUGGGGAGAGCGGCUGUGAGUGCUGGAAGGGCUGGCGCAGCCCUGCACGGAGCCGCGUGGUUGCUGAACCACCAUAAAGCUCAAGGUGAAAGCAAAGCAGAGCUGCUGGGGAGCAGUGAGGGAGCACAAACCCUGCUGCCUGGCUGCAGUACGAGGCAGGGAAACAUUCCCACGAAGCUCAUGAAAGUUUUUGAGAAGCAGCAGGCUAUGGAGAAGGACUGUCAUAAACGUGGAACAUGCCAUCUGAUGCAAUUCGUGUGUUCCUGCAACUUCGGAUGGCAACUUUGCCCUGAAUGCCUUUGAAGCCUACAAACUAUGAAAUUUUAAUGCUUAGCAGCCUCCCGGGGACCUCACGAUAAUACCUACAGGACAUCUCUCAGCAUCCCUGCUGGAAGAAGGACAGACAUCUCGGGGCGAGCACCACCGAUGGCUCCUCGCCGCCACCACAGGCACCGAGGGGCGCGCUGCCCGGGGACGGGAAAAGCACGAGUUCGUGGAAAGUGGAUGGGUACAGUAUGGAAAUAAAAGCGGAUCGCAUCCUCA
rnacentral:lncRNA from 1 species